GGUCGGAAGUUCAAGUCUUCCCAGGCCCACCACACUCAUCGAGUGAGCAUUCGUCUUCUGGUUACGGGGCCAUAGCUCAGCUGGGAGAGCGCGUGCUUUGCAAGCAUGAGGUCGUCGGUUCGAUCCCGUCUGGCUCCACCAGAUGGUUUGAUCACCGACUACUCGUACCGUCGUCCGCGAAACAUCACUUCGCACUUACUAGUCCGGAUGGACAGUAAGCUGCGUGAUUUCUGACAUCGUAAAGAGGAGAUCGAUCCGAGUUGGAUCGGGCAACAAGUAAUUGUUGCGCGAUACUUCAUUAUCUCCGGAUCAUUUCGGCGCUCGUGCGUCUUCCAGGGUAGCUCACAAGGCUGCGUCUGAAGGACACGCGAGUUGUAAAUGAUCCUUUUAGCGAAGCUUGACCGCCUCGCUAUCGGAACGAUCUUACGAAGCAAGCUGGUCUUUCUAAUCAUUGUCCGGCUGCAGAUAGCGUUCAUCGAGGGCGCGUGCCUUAGAGACUUAGGUUUCUUGGCAAUUCUGCAGACAACAUUCUGCCGAGUGUGUGGACAUUGAUAAUGAGAGC
rnacentral:tRNA from 4 species